rnacentral:rRNA from 1 species
GUGGGGAAUAUUGGACAAUGGGCGAAAGCCUGAUCCAGCCAUGCCGCGUGUGUGAAGAAGGUCUUCGGAUUGUAAAGCACUUUAAGUUGGGAGGAAGGGCAGUAAGUUAAUACCUUGCUGUUUUGACGUUACCGACAGAAUAAGCACCGGCUAACUUCGUGCCAGCAGCCGCGGUAAUACGAAGGGUGCAAGCGUUAAUCGGAAUUACUGGGCGUAAAGCGCGCGUAGGUGGUUUUGUAAGUUGGAGGUGAAAUCCCCGGGCUCAACCUGGGAACUGCCUCCAAAACUGCAUGACUAGAGUACGGUAGAGGGUAGUGGAAUUUCCUGUGUAGCGGUGAAAUGCGUAGAUAUAGGAAGGAACACCAGAGGCGAAGGCGACUACCUGGACUGAUACUGACACUGAGGUGCGAAAGCGUGGGGAGCAAACAGGAUUAGAAACCCCAGUAGUCC